rnacentral:rRNA from 1 species
CAGGCCUAACACAUGCAAGUCGAACGAGAACGGGUAUUAGUUUACUAAUACUGUCAGCUAAGUGGCGCACGGGUGAGUAAUAUAUAGGUAACGUGCCCUAGAGAGGGGGAUAACGUUUGGAAACGAACGCUAAUACCCCAUAUGCCUUUAAGUCUUAAGACUGCAAGGGAAAUAUUUAUAGCUCUAGGAUCGGCCUGUACGGUAUCAGUUAGUUGGUGUGGUAAUGGCUCACCAAGACAAUGACGCCUAACUGGUUUGAGAGGAUGAUCAGUCACACUGGAACUGAGACACGGUCCAGACUCCUACGGGAGGCAGCAGUGGGGAAUAUUGCACAAUGGAGGAAACUCUGAUGCAGCAACGCCGCGUGGAGGAUGACACAUUUCGGUGCGUAAACUCCUUUUAUAUAGGAAGAUAAUGACGGUACUAUAUGAAUAAGCACCGGCUAACUCCGUGCCAGGAGCCGCGGUAAUACGGAGGGUGCAAGCGUUACUCGGAAUCACUGGGCGUAAAGAGCGUGUAGGCGGAUAGUUAAGUUUGAAGUGAAAUCCAAUGGCUCAACCAUUGAACUGCUUUGAAAACUGACAAUCUAGAAUAUGG